AUGUCUGGUGGACACCUUCUUGUUAAGUCCUUAAACCUCUCCCAUGCCUCAUAGAAAGUUUCACCAUCUUGUUGCCUGAAGGUUUAUACCUCAGCUCUCAACCU